rnacentral:lncRNA from 1 species
AUGAGACCCGCCAAAAGCAAGAACAGAACAAGGAAAUACACAAGAGAUGUCUCCAAAACGAAAAAUGGCGAUCGUAUCCAGACUGUGACAGUCUACACCCUGGUUGAAAAGUACACAUUGACAGUGCCAGAGGCUGUGGCCAGGUUCAGAAGGGGCCCACAAUAUGAACCAUGUGAAUUGGAAAUGAUGCAAGCUGACUUGAUGAAACAUUUAUCAGAGGAUGCAACAGAGAAGCUACAAGCCUAUAAAGAUAGAAUGUGAAGAGCCCUCUCCUCUGAGGCAUUUCUUAGCCAGCUAUAAGGUGUAAUAUCUUCAAAGAUUUACUUUUCUUUUUCUUUUGACUCCUCCAAGGAAAUGUGUCACAGCCCUACGGGGGCCUCUAACCAUUCUCUUCUGUUUAACUCAAAACUGUAGUAAAUGGUGCAUUUGUUGGGGACUGUUUUCUGCGGUGGAGUAAUACACAGUGUGUGUUAGACUAGAGCAGUGCACACUUACAAACUGUAGAGUAUGUAUCAAAUGUGAGUAUGUGUGCAUACAUAUGUAUAAACUUAAAUUUUAUACAGGAUAUUGUAAUCGUUUUGUAAUGUAUAUGCAAUUGGUCUGUUUCAUUUCAUAGUUCCAUCAGCAUCAUUUGGCUCCAUAAAACUUGAGACAAAAUGCUGAAAGGCAUUACAGUGUGCAUCACUGCCUGAGUUGGAUGUAAAGAAAAAAAGAGCUAAUCCUUGCAUUUGAACAGCUAUGUUAUUAACUGCUUUAUAAGUGUCCAGUACAAGCAACCGUUCAUCAGGUACAGGUACAUGACAUUUAACUGUUGAUGCACUUUGUUAAAGUCAAAUCACACAACACUUAACAAGUAUUUCCUAACAGGAGAAGCAUUUAUAUUUACACAAGUCUAGGCACUACCAUGCUCGCAAGCAGAUGUUUGUCAGCAGACCAUGUUCUCUCUGUCAUGGCAGUCAAAGAACUAAUAAAAAGCUGAUUUAUAAACAUUUAAAUCACUUGUGCAUUGUGUGUGUGUCCAAGCCUGUGUGUGCGUGCCUGCAAUCACGAGUGUGCGCUUGUGUCUAGGAUGGGGGGCACAAAAAAAGUAUUUGCACCAGGGCCUAUCACCAUGAUGUUAAGCUACUGUGGCAGACAAUCUAAAUAAUGUUGCAUCAGAAAGUCGGAGUGUGGCCGAAGUGAAAGAAAGUGGUCAGACAUAAAAGUGGAAGCAAAAAAGCGCCUGUCAUCACACAGGCAGAGCGUCUGUGUCACGGGCGGGGGAACGGCCACCGGAGCUCACCCCGCUGGAUGAAAAACUGGUGGGGAUCAUUGGGGAAUCCCUCCUGAGUGACGUGGUGACGGAGGUGGAGGGGGACACCAAUGCCCCUCGUGC